UUUUUCACUGUCCAUUUCCACCAUCUUCUGGGUCGUGUCUCUCAUCAAUCCCUCUGUGGUGGCAGCCGCACAACAAAUAUCAACAACAGGGAGAACUCCAUCCUGCAUCAGAGGUUUUGGGACCGCAGGCAUCAGACCCUUUAACUGAUCUUCCUCAGUCACCCCCAUUCCUCUCUUGACCUUUUUCACCAUCUUCAUCUUUACAGGACCC
rnacentral:lncRNA from 1 species